rnacentral:rRNA from 1 species
GACGAACGCUGGCGGCGUGCCUAAUACAUGCAAGUCGAGCGGACAGUCAGGAGUCCUUGCCCUCCGGAGGGUGAGCGGCGGGCGGGUGAGAAACACGUAUGCAACCUGUACAUAAGAGCGAGAUAACAGUCGGAAACGAAAGCAAAUACCGGAUAGACGUACUUCUCGCGGGAGGGUAUCGAGAAAGGGGGAUCAAGCUGCUGCUCAUUGAUGGGCCUCCGGCGCAUCAGGUUGGUGGUGGGGUAACGGCCUACCCAGACGACGAUUAGUAGCCGACCUGGGAGGGUGAUCGGCCACACUGGAGCUGAGACACGGCCCAGACUCCUACGGGAGGCAGCAGUAGGGAAUCUUCCGCAAUGGUCGCAAGUCUGACGGAGCAACGCCGCGUGAGUGAGGAAGGCCUUCGGGUCGUAAAGCUCUGUUACCAGGGAAGAACGGGUAGGGGAGUAACUGAGCUUGCCAUGACGGUACCUGAGAAGAAAGCCCCGGCUAACUACGUG